rnacentral:rRNA from 1 species
UACGGGGGGGGCAAGCGUUGUUCGGAAUUACUGGGCGUAAAGGGCUCGUAGGCGGCCAACUCAGUCGGACGUGAAAUCCCUCGGCUUAACCGGGGAACGGCGUCCGAUACUGGAUGGCUUGAAUCCGAGAGAGGGAUGCGGAAUUCCAGGUGUAGCGGUGAAAUGCGUAGAUAUCUGGAGGAACAUCCGUGGCGAAGGCGACUACCUGGACCAGCACUGACACUGAGGCACGAAAGCGUGGGGAGCAAACAGG